AGCAGCCGCGGUAAUUCCAGCUCCAAUAGCGUAUAUUAAAGUUGUUGCAGUUAAAAAGCUCGUAGUUGAAUUUCGGGAUCAAUAUGCUGGUCGUGCCAUUGGUACGUACUGGUAUUAUUGAUUUCUCCCUUCUGAAGAACCAUGAUGUCAUUAAUUUGAUGUCAUGGGGAAUCAGGACUGUUACUUUGAAAAAUUAGAGUGUUUAAAGCAGGCUCGCGCUUGAAUACAUUAGCAUGGAAUAAUGAAAUAGGACGUUUGAUUCUAUUUUGUUGGUUCUAGGAUUGACGUAAUGAUUAAUAGGGAUAGUUGAGGGCAUUAGUAUUCAAUUGUCAGAGGUGAAAUUCUUGGAUUUAUUGAAGACUAACUACUGCGAAAGCAUUUGCCAAGGAUGUUUUCAUUAAUCAAGAACGAAAGUUAGGGGAUCGAAGACGAUCAGAUACCGUCGUAGUCUUAACCAUAAACUAUGCCGACUAGGGAUCGGAUGAUGUUAAUUUUUAAUGUA
rnacentral:rRNA from 1 species